rnacentral:rRNA from 1 species
AGCGAACGCUGGCGGCAGGCCUAACACAUGCAAGUCGAACGAACCUUUCGGGGUUAGUGGCGGACGGGUGAGUAACACGCGGGAACGUGCCUUUAGGUUCGGAAUAACUCAGGGAAACUUGUGCUAAUACCGAAUGUGCCCUUCGGGGGAAAGAUUAAUCGCCUUUAGAGCGGCCCGCGUCUGAUUAGCUAGUUGGUUGAGGUAAUGGCUCACCAAGGCGACGAUCAGUAGCUGGUCUGAGAGGAUGAUCAGCCACAUUGGGACUGAGACACGGCCCAAACUCCUACGGGAGGCAGCAGUGGGGAAUCGUGCGCAAUGGGCGAAAGGCUGACGCAGCCAUGCCGCGUGAAUGAUGAAGGUCUUAGGAUUGUAAAAUUCUUUCAACGGGGACGAUAAUGACGGUACCCGGAGAAGAAGCCCCGGCUAACUUCGUG